AUAACACUUUCAUUUCACUUUUCAAGUUCUCUGUACACAUUGAUUAUGUUUAACGAGACCGUGUGCUUUCUUCAAUAACAUUUAGACCUGACAGUGUUCUGUGUGCACUAAAACAUGGAGACCCGGGUGGAGACCUGGCCUGGCCUCUGUCUGGAAAACUCCAUGCCUGCAUCUGAAUGUCAGUGCUCAGAUGUCUGGGGUCUGGGGCUGAGGUGGGCUUCUCUGGGGAACCGUGCUCUUCUCUGAGUGGGGUUCCAUGGCCCUCCCAGGGGUCAAUGCUACGGUAGAGCUCUUAGCCUUUUCUCCCUGCUAGGUUCACCUUCCUGGGCUCCUGAAGACUCCUCAGGUGGGCUACCUGGUAAUUAUUGCAAUUUUCCAGCACAUUCAGGUUGAGUAGGGAGGCAGGUUCACCUGGUGAAUUGAUUCCAGGGCACAUGGAUCAGGCAAAGGCCAAUGGGCAGCAGGUGAGGUUGCUGCUGUGACCUUCCAGUCGACUCUCCUCUGAAGAGAACAGAGCUGCCCCUCAUCUUUCAGCCCAGCUCUCCUGUUUUCUCAGCACCUCAGCGGAACAAGAAAGACAGAGCCUGCCAGAACCAAGUCGACCUUCCCUACUCAGCAGAGACCAGACCUGCCCCUCGUCUCCCAGCCCUGUGUCUGGUGUGUUUUCUCAGCACAUCAGUGAACCAAGAAAGGACUGAGCCUGCGAGAACUAAGGUAUAUAGACUUGCAGGAGACAUGGAUUCGAUCCCUGGGUUGGGAAGAUCCCCUGGAGAAGGAAAUGGACACUGGGCUGCACUCUAAGAAAUUCCUGGAUCUCCCCUGGAUCCUGACCAUCAUGUGCCCAGAGAAAUUGUCGGCCGUCCCUACUCAGCAGAGACCAGACCUGCCCCUUGUCUCCCAGCCCUGCGCCUGGUGUGUUUUCUCAAUACCUCAGUGGAACGAGAAAGGACCGAGCCUGCCAGAACCAAGGGGGUUACAGGAACCCACUCAUUUCCACCUUAGAAGCCCAACCAGCAGAAACCUGGGGUCCUAACCAAGGGUCGUUGGACGCCAGGUCCUGGGUCUGGGGAGGUGGUGUCACCUUGGAGAGAGUGGAAGUGUGCCCCACGUGCAGAGUCUGGGGAUUGUGUGGGUCUCACCCCAUCCACACGGGUUACAUAUCUACUCUUUACCUGCAGUGUGUCUGUCAGGGAUUCCCAACAUCUGAAUUGAGGGUGUUGCCCUGAUUAACCUGUGGUCCUUUUCCUUCUCUUCGCUUUGUCAUGUUCACAUGAGGUCAGGCACCUUUGAGUGGGUUGCUGCUCUGUGUUCUGAGUGUAAACCUUUGGUGGUGUCAUAUUAAUAUCAUAGCAUAUCCCAUAUCUAAUUCAUAGAGAUACCACUGUCUGGUUUCCCCUCCACCAAGCUC
rnacentral:lncRNA from 1 species